UGGAUUAGGCAUGCAAGUCGAGCGAGAAGUGUAGCAAUACACGGAAAGCGGCGGAAGGGAGAGUAAUACGUGGGAAUCUGCCCUUAGACCUGGGAUAGCAGCGGGAAACUGCUGGUAAUACCAGAUAAUGUCUAUGGACCAAAGGUGUGAUUCCGUCUAGGGAUGAGCCCACGUCCUAUUAGCUAGUUGGUAGGGUAAUGGCCUACCAAGGCGAUGAUGGGUAGCGGGUGUGAGAGCAUGACCCGCCUCACUGGGACUGAGACACUGCCCAGACACCUACGGGUGGCUGCAGUCGAGAAUCUUCGGCAAUGGGCGCAAGCCUGACCGAGCGAUGCCGCGUGCGGGAUGAAGGCCUUCGGGUUGUAAACCGCUGUCGAGGGGGAGCAACUUCCAUAGAGUUAUCUUUAUGGAUUGAGUGAUCCCUGGAGGAAGGACGGGCUAAGUUCGUGCCAGCAGCCGCGGUAAGACGAACCGUCCAAACGUUAUUCGGUAUCACUGGGCUUAAAGAGUUCGUAGGCGGCUAAACAGGUGAGGUGUGAAAGCCCUCGGCUCAACCGAGGAACUGCGCUUCAAACCGUUUAGCUAGAGGAAGACAGAGGUGAGCGGAACUGAUGGUGGAGCGGUGAAAUGCGUUGAUAUCAUCAGGAACACCGGUGGCGAAAGCGGCUCACUGGGUCUUUUCUGACGCUGAGGAACGAAAGCUAGGGGAGCGAACGGGAUUAGAUACCCCGGUAGUCCUAGCCGUAAACGAUGAGCACUAGACUGUGGGGACCCUCACAUCCUCUCGGUCGUAGCGAAAGUGUUAAGUGCUCCGCCUGGGGAGUAUGGUCGCAAGGCUGAAACUCAAAGGAAUUGACGGGGGCUCACACAAGCGGUGGAGGAUGUGGCUUAAUUCGAGGCUACGCGAAGAACCUUAUCCUAGUCUUGACAUGCUUAGGACCUGACUGAAUGUUGGGUGCCCUUCGGGGAGCUUUGCACAGUGCUGCAUGCUGUCGUCAGCUCGUGUCGUGAGAUGUCGGGUAAGUCCCUACGAGCGAAAUCCAUGUCCCUAGUGCCAGCGAGUCAUGUCGGACUCUAGGAGACUGCCGUGUUUAACCGAGAAAGAUGGAAGAAAACAGUCCUCUUGGCCCUUAUAAUAGACUGCCACGUCCUACAAUGAACCGUAUAAAGGAAGACACAUCGCGAGGGGGAGCAUCUCAACGGUGUCUAUUUCGAUGACAGGGCGGCAAGACCCUCGCUGGACCUGGGAUGGCACCUGUAAUAUCUCGGGGGUGCACCCAAUUACCACAACG
rnacentral:rRNA from 1 species